rnacentral:rRNA from 1 species
AUGCAUUGGGUGUCUUGGAAAGAGUUGGCAACACCCAAGCAAGGGGGCAUGGGAUUUCAAGAUCCACACUUAUUUAACCUUGCAAUGCUUGGCAAGCACGGAUGGAGGUUUGUGACAAGUCCGGACUCCCUCUGCGCGAGAGUAUUGAAAGGAAGGUAUUUCCCCGAUUCUGAAUUCAUGCAGGCGUCAGCACCCAAGUCAGCUUCUGCUACUUGGAAGGCGAUUAUAGCGGGGAGGGAA